UAAAGUGAAAUAAACAGUAAUUAAGACCACGACUACACUUCGGGAGUUUAUAUAAACGCAGAGAAACAAUGCCUAGAGAAGAACGUAUCCAGUGAUCAUAGUUUCAAGGCUAAUUCAGUAAUUGAACUUUGUGUUUUGUUGGAAAAGUUACGGUUUUGAAAGACUGUGUUUAAGAGAAAGAUUGAUAUAAUUGUAAUUGUUGAUCAUAUUUAUGUGACUGGAGUUAAUGAUAAAAGUCAACUAUUGGACGGAAGUGCUGAUAAUUACAAAGAAAACUAUAAGUGAAAAUACUGUCGCGGUCGCCGGAUUGUCGAAUUCAGAUGCUGAUUGACAAGUCAGAUGGAAAUAAAAAAGGCAAGGCGAGGAGCGAAUUAUCGGGGGCAGUAACUGUGUAAAACCGUCGAAAAGGCAUUUCAGUAGCUCAGGAUACUUCAUGGCAUAAACUGGGUUUCGGCAGUCUAAAAUCACACACAUUCUUGAUGUCCAAGCAAAAGUAUGGAGGGCAGAUAGUGAAGUAGGUCAUUUCUCAUCAUAUCUGUAAAACAUAUCUGUGAAACGGGCCAGUGGCGGCAAAGAAACCAGACCGGCCAGUUUACUGGAGUGUCAGUGGUGAGAAGGGACUCA